UUAAUAAUAAUGUCCAAAAGACCACUAAUUUAGGCCAAAUCAAAAGAUAGCACAUAACAUAUAAUUCAUUCAUAUAUUGUCUAUAUGUAUGUAGUAUAAGUUCAUAUAUCUAACAUUCAGCAGUGUGUUACAAAGAAGAAAGAAAGAGAAAAGAAAGACAAGUAAUAUCAGGGGAAAAAACAUACCCCAUAUUCCUAUUCUUUAUUUUAUCCUGAUAUAUAUUUACAACAGCGAAUCAGAAAAUGAAAAGGGAAACAGAACAAGAAAAAUGAUAGUAUAACACUUAGAUUCCCAAGAGAAAAAUCUCCGCAGAGUCUGCUGCAGGAUUAAGGGAAAACCAAAACCUCGUUAAUAAUUAACUAUGAUUUGUAGCCAGGGGUUAUCUUGAUGACAAGACCAGGGAAAACAUCAUCAGGAUCAUGAAUAUGUGGAUUCCUUUCAACAAUAUAAGGAUCACUACACUUAUCACUGAUUGUAUGCAGCGUUUCACCUUCUCCGACCACAUAGAUUUCAUCGCAAGGCCUGUUGAGGAAGUGGUUCACAGCCCCAUCUGUAGAGUAAUAAUAAUUCUCUUUCAAUGAACUAAUUAAAAGCAGACCCAAUAUUACUAUAGCACAGUACAAAGAAGCUGCAUCUACUAUGGCUAUUAGUGUUUUAAUGGACUUCAUAUUCAUAAGGUGGUGUCUUGUGAGAGAGAGAGAAUUAUAAUAUUGAAACAAAAGAAAGGAUGAGUUUUUGAUUUGAGGGUCAAACGGGAUUUAUAUAUAGCUGUGCGUGGGAAUAAAAGUUAAGCAACCCCUCUUCCAUCCGAGAGGUGGUGAGUUCGAGUUUCCCAAAAGCAAGGUGGGAAGUUUUUGGAGAGAAGUAUAUCGGGGCCUAUUUGAAAAUAGUCUCUCUAUCUAAGGAUAUGGAUAAAAUCUGCGUACACACUAUCCUCCUUAAACCUCAUUAAAUAAAAUUAUACUGGAUUAUUAUGUUGUGAUGUGUAUUGGGAAUAAAAGGAAAAAAUAUCGGAGAAAUUUCAAAGUUGGGGAUCAUAAUUUGGGUUGGGAGAACCACUAAAGUUGGGAAUUGUAAUUUGGGUUAGGAGGUGGAGUUGGUAUUUCAGUCGCGUUUGAUGGCUAAUGGUUAGGGCAGUUGAUAUUUUUCAUCUUUACUUAUCAAAUUUUGACUAAUUAAACGCGCCUUCUUCCUGCCGAAUUUAUUUUGGACAUAGAAGAAAAAGAUAUAUUUUUUAUUGAAUCAUUUAAUUUAGAUCACUUUUUCUAUUGAAGUUAUUAAAGUAAUUAUUGUAGAUUUAAAAUCACUGAAUAAUACGUGUCUUUUUAGAUUAAAAUUAUUAUACAUAAGAGGUAGGGAAAGGAAAAAUGGGGGAGGAGAUUAAUUACAAGAUAGAGUAUCGAACCCUCAUUAAUAAGGUAAAAGUUUUGAAUAAUUAACCAACAUAAUUACUAAAAUUCCCAUUGUUACUCAAAUAAAUCAGCUAAAAUACCUGAACUUCCAUUUGAACAGCUAUAUAUAUAUUUCACGUAGAUCCAGUUUUAGGAUUUCAGAUUUUGUCUUCCCUUAUACGAGUAGACAUUAUUCCUUCAUAAUCAUAUGAUAGCUAUUAGCUAGUAAAAUGACAAGGGAUGAAAAUAAUUUGAAAAGAUAUUCCUAUCCGUCAAGCAACAAAAAAUUAUUAAAUGACUCUGAUUACUAAUCUAGAAAAAAAUCCAAUUCAAUGUAUUUACUUGAGAAUAUGGUUGACCAAAUAUUACUAUGGCAAGGUCAAGGUGGCAUUAAUUAGGUGUCCAACCAUUUUGUUUGGUGACUUAAAAUAAUUAAGGGCCGGGAAUACUAGAUUAGUUCGUGUAGUGUUUGCCAAAAGGACACGUGGCGCAUAUAAGAGAUUUUGGUCGUUUUCCAUCGAGUUUAGAAAACUGACGAGAACCAGAUGAGUCAUAUGCUGUCCACACUCCAUGCCAUGUUUGAUUUCUACACGUCUUAACUUUAUAUCCUUAAAGAAAAAGAAACCGUCACAUUGUUCCUAAACAAGGCAAAGAGUCUUUGUCUGGACCAAGAUAUGACAAAGAGGAGUUUUGUCCAAGUCUAGACCCACUCCUUCAUAGAGAAGGUUUAAUUUAAUUUUAUCGGGGGCUAACAAGUUAAGAGUAAAUUUUGGAGAGUCAAUUCGGAUCAAAUUAAUUAUUCACCUAUUCAAGAACUUGUUCAAAGUUUAUUUGUAUGAAAAUAAGUUAGAUUAAUUUGUGCUAUACUAAAAAAUUAAUCAUUCAUGAUUCAAUUCGCUAAAUUCAAAACUAUUAUAAUUUGUUUAGAGACCGCGCAAAAAGAAGUUAUACUUUCCUCGGAAAAAGAGAGAGAAAGUAGAGUUUAUUGGCACAAAAUAAACAAAAUUAACUUUAUGCUAAAAUUAAUAUUGAUCAGGAUAGUCCACGAAAUUGAACGUUGCUCGAAGACUAUAGUGUAUAACCUACUCUACUAGGGGUGUACGUAGGUCGGGUUGGUUCGGAUUUUAUAAUUACCAAACUAAAUUAAUUGUGUCGGAUUAUUAAAUCUAAAGACCAAACCAAACUAAUAAAACUCGAGUUCUUUACUUUCGAUUUUUCUCAGGUUUUCUCGGGUUUCGGGUUAUUCGGGUUUUUUCCCGGUAAAAUCUUCGUAGAACAAAACAUAUAAAUUAUGCUCAAAAUAUUUCUUUAGUCCUAGUNNNNNNNNNNNNNNNNNNNNNNNNNNNNNNNNNNNNNNNNNNNNNNNNNNNNNNNNNNNNNNNNNNNNNNNNNNNNNNNNNNNNNNNNNAAGAAAAUAAUACGAAAUAUGAGAUAUGUCACAUAUAAAUUAUGCUCAAAAUAUUUCUUUAGUCCUAGUAAGAUACAACUAUAUAAAGUAUUUUCAAGAAAAUAAUACGAAAUAUGAGAUAUGUCAUGACAUUAUCCUAAAAUAUUCAACAAUAAAGACAAUAAUAUUUUUUUUGGUAACUAAACAUUUUAUUACCAAGUAAUAUUUACAUGCAGUUUCUUUCUAUAGCUUGUUCUGGACAUAAGUCUCGGACUAAGCUAUAUCUUCUGUAUCUCUUUCCCUCUUAGGCUCACUAUACAUUCUAAUGAACAAUGGGAUAGUAAUUCAAUUCUAGUAACCUUUCCUUCAGUCUUUGCUUUACCGUGCCUUUACAGUGUAAAUCCUGUACUGGAAGUCUAGUAAUUUUUUCUGCACUUCUUUGUGUUGCCUGAAAAACUCAUGCAUUCCUCUCUUGCCAUACAAGUAUAUGCUCCCAGCUAGCAUCAUCCUGCAUAUCUCAGCAUUUGCACUUCUUCCACAACAAUAUUGUUCAGCCCAUUUCAGUUCUUGCUCCCAUGUCAUCACCUGCCUAUAGAUCCUCAUCCAUUCUAGCAUAGUAGUCCAAAUUUGCGUAGAGAAUGUACAUGUAAAGAACAGGUGAUCAGUUGUCUCUACUUCUGUAUUUAACAGUGGACAAGUAUCAUCUUCUACAUAGCCUCAUCUUCUCAACCUAUCUCUUAUUUGAAGUCUCUUGUGAGUAGCCAAUAACAUGAUGAAUUUCCACUUACGUAGCCCACUGUUGUUGUAGAUGAGUCUUCUCCCUGGAACUUUGCUAAAUUGGCCUCUUUGCUUCAGGUACAUGGUCUUGAUCGAGAAUGUUUCCAGCCUAAGCACAUCCUCCUCUGUUAUCCAGCUUCUUCAAAGUAUUUCUUGGCUUUGAAAAUCUUUUGAAUCACCUAAGAUGCUUGCUUUAGUUCAUCAACCCACCCUGGAUUAUAUUUCUUAUAGUACACAUGAACCGAUUGCACCCACAUUUUGUCCUUCUUCUUGCAUAGAUUCCACAAUAGUUUGCAUAUGGCAGCUUUAUUCCACAAGCCUAUGUCCAUCAGAUUCAAGCCACCGGCUGCUUUAGGCCAGCAUAGUUUGUCCCAGGCUAUGGGUGCUUUCCGUGUAGCCUCAACACUUCCUGCCUAUAAGAAUCUUCUACACAUGUUUUCAAUCAAAUGAAUCAGCUUAUUAGGUAAUAAGAAUAUCUGUGACCAGUACACUUGGAUAGAAAGUAACACACUUCUAAUAAGUUGGACUCUUCCUGCAUAGAAUAGGAAUUUAGUAGUCCAAGAUUGAAUUCUUCCUAUCAUUUUCUCCAGAAGUGGUUGACAUUGCUGAACUGUUAUCCUUUUAGUACUCAAAGGUACCCCCAAGUAUCUCACUGGAAGGUGCCCCUUAGAGAACCCCAAUAGAUGCAGAAUUUCCUGUUGAAUAUCAUUACUAACACCUCCAAAAUAGAUUGAGCUUUUCUCAGUGUUGGCCACUAACCCUGAUGCCUGUGAGAACUCUUGGAAACAUUGGUACAACAACUGUACUGAUAUAGUAUCACCUCGACAAAAUAAUAGUAAGUCAUCAGCAAAGCUUAGUUGAAUUAUGCUCAUCUUGGCACACUUUGUAUGAAAGUUGAACUCUGGGUUCCUUUUUAGUGUCUUAAGAAGUCUUGUAAAAUAUUCCAUUGCCAAUACAAAUAAUAAAGGAAACAAAGGAUCGCCUUGUCUCAACCCCUUUUUAGCUUUAAAAGGUACUGAGUGUUGCCCAUUUAUAAUGAUGGAAUAUGAGACAGCCUUCACACAUCUCAUAAUCCAAUUUAUAAACUUCCCUGGCAUUUGUAUACUCCUCAGUACUUGUUCCAUGUAACUCCAUUCAAUAGAGUCGUAGGCUUUCUUCAUAUCCACUUUCAGCAUGCAUCUAGGUGAUAUAUCCUUCCUACCAUAACCUUUAAUAAGUUCAUGGCUCAUUCUAAUGUUAUCAUUAAUCAAUCUUCCUGGGACAAAUACAGAUUGGCUUUUAUCUACUAUGUCAUCCAUUACCUCUUGUAAUCUAUUAUUUAACACCUUUGAGAUGAUUUUAUAGAUAAGAGUACAACAAGAGAUUGGUAUGAAAUCAGUAACUCUAGAAGGAUUUGGUACUUUGGGAAUCAGAGUCACUGUGGUGCAAUUGAUAGGCUAGUGCAAGUUUUCUUUUGAGAAGAAUUCCAGUGCUGCUUCAGUUAUCUUGUCUCCAACCACAGGCAAUGCUUUCUUGAAGAAGAGUGCAUUGAAUCCAUCACAUCCAGGUGCUUUGCUAUCAGAAAUCCCCAUUAUAGCCUUGUAUAUUUCUUCCUUAGAUACUGUGGUUGUCAAUUGGAGCUGUUGUUGUCUGUUUACCAAUGGACCCUCUCUCAUGAUCACUGGAUUAAUGGUGGGAAGUCUUUCAGCUGCUGACCCUAAUAGAUGUUUAUAAAAUCCAAUUAUUUCCUUUUCAAUCUCCUGGAUUGUCUAUAUUACUUCCCCAUUGCUUUUUGUUAAGCUCUUGAUCUUGUUCUGGGAAUAUCUGCUCUCCAUGCUUGCAUAAAAGUAGGUAGUGUUGUCAUCUCCCAGAUGUAGCCAUUUUACUCUUGAUUUUUGCUUCAUGAUACUUUCCUCUACCCUCAACCUUUUCUCCAACUUCCUCUUUAACUCCUUUUCUACUGUAAUCAUGUUCUCAGACUGCCCAGGACUUCUCAUUUGUUCUUGCACUUGACACAGUUGCUUCCUACAGUCUGCAAUCUUAUCUCCUACUACAUUAUAUUCUUUAGUAUUUAACUCUUUCAUAGCUUGUUUCACUUUCUUCAACCUGUUCCAUACAUCUUUCAUUAUAUUAUCAUCAUUACUCUCUUUCCAUGCUUCUUUCACUAUCUUUAGAAAGUCUUUAUGUUCAGCUAGGUGGUUCAAGAACCUGAAUGGCUUGGAGACUAUCUCUUCCUUUUCUUCAAGUGUAAUACUCAAAGGUGAAUGAUCAGAGUAUCUCAGAUCUAUUACCCAUACCACCAGAUAAGGCAUUUUCAGCAUCCAUUCUGGGUUAAGCAGUGCUCUAUCAAUCCUUCUACGUAUGUGCCCAUUUUUCCUUGUGAAAGUUCUUCUUUUAGUUCUCAUUUCAACCAAGUUAGCAUCAUCUAGAAAGUUAUUAAAGUCUCUCACUUCCACAUCUUGGACAGGAUUACCAAUUUGGUCUAUCUUUCCCUGAUCUUAUGGCAUUAUAGUCACCCAUGAUUAGCCAUGGUAGUUGAUGUCUAUUGUUGAUAUCUGCUAAGUCUCUCCAUAGGUGUCUCAUAUCAUCCAGUGUAUCCAAGCCAUAAACUGCAGUGAACUCAAACCUCAUGUUCAUACUUUUGAUAUGAACUGCAGCAUGAAUGAACUGAGAAGACUUCCCCUUCAUAAGACAUUCUAUCUCACUAGCAUCCCAUAACAACCAAAUUCUCCCUUUGAUAUUGUGUUCAUAGUUUGCUAGCCAGUGCCAUCCUGUACUGAUUUCUUUUAUUAUUUGUUCCGCCUUCUGCUCCUUUAUUUUGUGUUCAAGUAUUGCUAUCAUAUUAACUUUAUUUCUUCUUAUGAACUUCUUUACCUCCUUCUGUCUAGAGGCCUUGUUCAACCCCUUAAUGUUCCAUUUUACCAGCUUCGUACAGGAAUGAAUAAAGCUUGUGAGUACCCUUCCUCCCCUACUUGACUUCUUUGACUAUUUGUGCCUUCACCUAAUUGCCUUGGAUUCAUUGGCUGCAGUCCAGAUUCUGCCAAUAUAUCGAAUCCAUUUAAUAUGCUGAUUGAGUCCUCCUCUGCUUUUUCCUUGCUUCUAACUAUUGAUUUCCCUGUAGCUUUCCUCCAAUUCUGCUCCUUCUCCCCUCUAGCUAUUCAUGUUGGUGAUUGAGUAGGCUUUUCCUCAUCUCUACUUAUUGCUUGACUCUUCUUUGUAUUUGUUUCAUCUUUCUGCUCCACCUUGUCACUAUUUCUGUCUUUAGGUUGCCAUUUUUGCUUCUACUUUUGUUGUUUAGGCCUAGUCUUCUGCAUAGGUAUCUCCUCUUUACCAUAUCUGUACCCGACUUGCAUACAAACUUGGCAGAACUCCGGAACCCAGUCAUACACUACUUUCUGAAAAAACUCACUUCCAGUUGGAUCUGUCACCUUUUAUGGCCUUAGGAAGCUCUUUGGUUACAUCCAUCUCAAUUAACACUCUAGCAUAUAUGAGCGAUCCAUUUGGGUAGUACAAGCAUCUACGUACUGUGGAAAUCCUAAACCACUCAGCCUGCUUAGAGACUUAGCUCCCCGAUAAUUCAAUGAAAGGUUAGGGAAUUUUGCACACACAGGUAUAGUUUGCAGAACCUCCUUGCUAAAAUCAAACCUUUCUUUUACCAAGUCUUCAUGAUGAUUGGCUUUGUACCCAGCAUAUGUGGCCCUGAAUACAAUACUUCAUCCAUGUCUUCCAUGGAGUUAAAUCUCAAUACAAAAUAUCCCUCAUUAUGGUAGUAGACUCUUAGCUUGGUUGUGAAAUUCCAUACCGAAGCAUAAACCGUUCCAUAGCUCCUAUUGUUGGAGUUGUUCCAACAACAUAAAGGAUCAAUUCCUGCUUCCACUUCCUUUUCUCUUCCUCAACUUCCUCCUUACAUAAUUCCAUUAUUAUUUCUCCAUUUUUGAUGGUCGGUGCAACGAAACUUAGAUCCAUGCCUUUUGCCGCCAAACUGUUCCCCUCAAACAAAUUAGCCCAAUUCCUCCGACCUACCUCUGCAUUUUUAGAUGUUAAUUUGACCUUACUGUUAUCAUUUUUCAAUUUCUCCUCAAUUUUUUCAUUAUUACCCAAAAUUUCUUAAGAAUUAAUUACUCACAAUCGAUUUAGGUUUCUCUAAACUAUUAUUGCUAUUUGCCUUCUGAUUACUACCAUGCACUCCUAACUUGUUUGCAUGCAGAGUAAUUACUCCUAAGAUAGGGCUUCUGUUUUGCACUGAAUUACCAGAAAUUACCUUUAUAUUCUUAAUCAUGAGUAUCGGACUCAUUGCAUGUGGCGUUUUUAGACUUUCCUUUGCAGCUGACAGUGGCGGCCACUGUUCCAUUGAAAUUUUUGUUGCAUUUGUCACGACCAAAAUAUCCACUAAGGGUCCUGAUGGCGCCGGACAUUGCUGUCAGGCAAGCCAACCAGAUUACUUAAUCAAAUCUCAUUUUAACACUUUUAGAAAUACAUGAUUUUUCUUCCAUAUUUAGAAAUUCUAAAGAAUGCCAUUUUCAAAUCAAAUUUCUUUUAAAGUUAAGCAAUUAAUACAAUGUUUCAACCUUCCCAGAACCUAGAGUCACAAGUACAUGAGCCUCUACUGAUAAGAGGAAUAUAAAUACAUCAUCCGUCCGGAAUACAAGGGAUGAAAAAUAAACAUUGUACUGGAAAGGGACUACCCUAGUUGCGACCGUCUCGAAUGAUGCAACUCUCUAGUCCCCAGAAUCAUCCGUGCUGCUACAUCCAGUAGACUAUUGAAAUCACAUAUACCUGUGCAACAAAAUGCAUAGCAAGUGUAGUAUGAGUACAAAAACAACGUGUACUCAAUGAGUGUCCCGCCUAAUCCCGAAGGAGAAGAGACGAGAUGGUCAAUCCUAACACUCAUUAACAGUCCAAUGACUAUUUAUCCUUUAAAAUAUAUCCAACCAGUGAAUUGGUUUAUAAAUGGGAUUCUAAUCUAGAUAUGGGAAAACAGGUACUCAUACAAUUCAUUCAUAGAAAAUUUCCUAAAUUUUCUUGUUAAUAUAAAAUAAAUGAUCUCGAGCCAUAGUGUGGCAUGAAACAACUCAAAUGAGUUCAAGAUAACAGCAAAAACAUGCACAAAUCAUGCCGAGGCGACGGCCUGCUCCAAAAGUAAUAUAAAUUUAUGCACUGCCGGGGGUCGAGCGGCCCGUACCAUAGAUGCAUCCAUUUCACUGAGGCGAUUGGCCCGUUCUAACAGAAAUAUAAACACACGCAGACAGAUAAUCAGUCAAACAGUCAGCGUGGAGCAAAUAUCCAAGUAAGGUCCAUUCCCUUUUAAUAAUUAUAGAAUAACAUAGCUUUAGUCUUUUUAGAAAUCCGCUUAUUAAUUUAAUAUGAUUAAAGCAUUUGAAGCCAUCAAUGAUUCAAGUAUAACAUGUUUUUGGGUCCUAGACUACCCGAACAAUAGCACAAUAGUAGCUACGCAUGGACUCUCGUCACCUUGUGCGUGCGUAGCCCACAAAAAUAGGAGCACAUAAUCAGCUUAAUUCACCUAUGCGGUAAUUUCCCCCUCACAGGAUCAGAAAGGAGACUCACCUCACCCGAAGACUCAAUAUCGGCAUUCUUCAUUCCUCCAAAGAUUUAAACCAAUGCACAAAUUCUCCAAAACUAGCCAGACAACGGAAAACAAAUGAAUAUACUCAAAUAUUUACUAACAAUUCAAAUUAUACAAUUUCGUAACUCCGUUUGUGAAAUGACCAAAAUGCCCUCGGGCCCACGUGCCCGGAAAUCUAAAUUUCUCAAAGAUAAAGGUUACCCAUGACCUUAGGAACUCAAAUAUAUAAUUUUCCCUUAAUACCAUAAAAAAUCGUGGUAAAAAAUGUAAAAUACUAAUUUUCUAGGUUUUCCUCUCACCCUCAAUUUUCGCACUAAUUUCCAUGCUUAAAUCCAUAUAUAAGUGAUGUAUUCAACUCAAAAGUGAUAGGGGUAACUUACCUCAACAUUGGCAACAAAAUUCUCGCUUGAAGCUCUCCAAAAAUUGCCCAAGCCAUGAAGAAAUGGGAGAAAUUCACUCAAUCCCAUGAUUUAAAACAAGGUUCGGCCUCCAGCGCUUUUAAAAUCCUCUUUUGAAGCUCCCCAAAAAUUGCCCAAGCCAUGAAGAAAUGGGAGAAAUGAACUAAAUCCCACGAUUUAAAACAAGGUUCUGCCUCCAACGCUUUCCUCUUCUGCAGUCCUAGGACCGCCCUUGCGGUCCCGCUUUUGUGGACAUAUCGACCGCUUCUGCGGUCUCUCCACUCACCCGACCACCCGCUUCUGUGGUCUACCCAUCGUAGAAGCGAGUUCGCUUCUGCGGAAUAAAAUCCACUUCUGCGGUUCCUGGCCAAACGUCCACUUCCGCUUUUGCGUCCCCUUAGUCACUUAUGCGGGGGCGCUUUUAUGGUCCCAUUUCCGUAUAUGCGGAAAUACCAACACCCAGCAGCUUCAGCCUUUCCCAAAAAUCCCAUUUUCAAUCCGUUAACCACCCGGAAUCCACCCGAGGCCCCCGGGACCUCAAACAAUCAUACCAACCAGUUCUAAAGCACAAUAUGGUCUUGCUCGAGGCCUCAAAUCGCAUCGAACAACGCUAAAACCACAAACCGACCUCCAAUCCAAGCUUUAUGAACUUUGAUUUUUUCAACUUCUACUGUCGAUGUUUAAACCUAUCAAAUCACGUCCGAUUGACCUCAAACUUUGCACGCAAGUCAUAUUCGACAUUGCGGACCUAUUCCAACUUCUUGCAUUUGAUUCUGAACCCGCUGUCAAAAAUUCGACCCCCCCAUCAAACUCUUCAAAAACCUUAAAAUUGUUUUUUUAGCCAAAUGGCUUAAAAAAUGACCUACGGACCUCCAAAUUCACUUCCAUUGCGCUCUCAACUCCAAAAUUACCAUACGGAGCUACUCCGAGUCUCGAAAUUCCAAACGGACAUUGAUAACACCGAAAUACACUUCAAACAAGUUAUGAAAUUUCUCCUAAAAUACUAACUUCCACAAUGGGCGCCAAAAUGCUCCAGGGUUAUCCAAAAUCCACUCCGGGCAUAUGCCCAAGUCCAAAAUCAUCAAAUGAACCUACUGGAACCUUCGAAUCCCGAUUCCGAGGUCAUUUACUUAAAAAUCCAAUCCUAGUUCAUUCUUUCAACUUUAAGCUUCUCUAAUGAGAAUUCUCAUCUAAGUUUAACUCUAAUCUUCCUGAAUUUCAGUUCUGACCAUACACACAAGUCAACAUACCAAAAAUAGGCUGCUCAUGGCCUCAGACCGCUGAAUGACGUGCUAGAGCUCAAAAUGACCGGUCGGAUCGUUAUAUUCCCUCCUACUUAAACACACGUUCAUCCUCGAACGUGCUGAGAACUACACUGAAGUAGUUUGAACUCAUUGUUUAGCAUCUUAUGCACCUUCUCGUGCUGCCACAACUCAGCUGAGCAUAUUAUCCCGAUAUAUUCUGAAGAUAUUCCCUAUUAUCCAAACAAAUAAGUCUUAGAGCCCAAUUCCAACAUCCGAAAUUCUAUGUCAGGCCUGUUUUCAUCAAGAGAUCACCCAAUUAUUCACCACACGCCGUCCUCAAAUAUGAUUGCAUAACUUUGCUGGAUUCUUACCUUGCAACACAAAAUCCACAGGACCAUGAUAAUAUUUUAUGAUAAACUUAGCUAAAAUUCAACGAAUCAGAUGCUCCAAUUGCACGUCAUGACCUACAUAGGUCUUGUUCUAACUUUUACAACACUAACACGACAGAAGAGAUGUGCCGAAGUUCAUAACCAACAGUUGAAUCAACAAGUCAUUCGGUCUAUACCUCUGACAGAACCAUUACCACAUUCUGAACCAAAUAGGGAUCUCUACUCUCUAAUAUACUUCAUGUGCUCAGAUUGCAUUGAACCUAAACUCCAUAAUCUCAUCUCCCCCAGUACAAACUGCUCAGGCAAUAAAGCCACAUCGGACACAAUCAAGAGUCCUAUAUGAUGCCCCUAUGUGCGCUUUACCGAUUAGGAUAUGAUACAAGGAGAAUACGAACUCUGAAACGAACAUAUAAUUACCCCGCCCACGAAACAUACGCGUGACGUAGGCUAACAACUUAUACGUAUUUUCCUCCAAAUAAUGGGAAACAGAACACAUAUAAGAAACUAGGGGAACUGUAGUAAGCAUUAUACUGUUACGGCGUGCACCCGAUCAAAACAACCUAACCAUGGUGGCGUGCCACCCGAUCCACACAUCAAAAAUAUAGUGGUGUGCCACCCAAUCCAAAUAACAUACUCGUGGUAACAUGCCACCCGAUCCAUAUACAGGCUCACAUAAGGAGAUAUUCAUUGAGCUAAAUAGCUCAUCACAUCAAAAUACCGAAUAUUGGUCUUAGACACGCUAAGGUGAAUAAUACCAUCCCUAAGGAACCAUUUAGCGCGAUAGGCUACAAAACUCAAGCACAACAUAGGUGCAAUACAUGAUCUGAAUCUCAAGAGCCAUCCUGCUCAUAUAACAUCACCGCUACGCGGAAUCUCAACAAAUAAGAAAUUUACCAAGCCGUUUCACGACCCAUAUGGUGCAAUACAUCACUAUCUGGAAUAGAUGAUGACAAAAUAACACCCCGAAUGUUCCUCCAUAGGGAACGCUCGCUGAUACGAACACAACUAGCCAUAUAAGCCCUGUCCACAAAUAAAUUAAUCCACUGAUCUCAAGCCGAUUUCUGAUUGCACCAACUUGGCUAAUGAGUUUCAAGGUUCGUAGUAACUCAUUCUUCCUCUUAACAUAUAGGAACAACCAACUCCAAAAUGACCUACCAACUUGGCUAAUAACCUUUCAAGGUUCAUAAUAACUCAAUUAUUCCUCAUAACAUACAGGAACAACCAUUACAACAGAAGCAACCUCCUCCGUUCAUAUCCCAAUAAACAAAGUGCCCUCCAGGCCUAAAUUCUCAAAUUAAUGGUAUUACCAAAAUCCUCAUACUUGGUUAAAUCAUUAGUUAAUCAAGGGACUACAUGUCACACUUACAGAAUUUUCCUGUGGGACACGCUCCCACAAUCUUCUGAAAUAAGUAUCGAGUCCAUACCUUUAAAGCUUCGGAUAUACUAACAAUGAAAAGCGAUCACGCUGAAGAUAAUACCAAUUUACUUUAAUCAUUCAACAACUUCCUUGCUUACCUGAGCCCGUGAUAUCCUUGCCAAUCCAAGCCGCAACAUUGAUAUUUACUUCAAAUUUCCAUGCUACUCGCUGCACCCUAUGUGCCAACCUACGAUAGAACAUGAUUUCCAUCUCUACUCUGGAACCACUGAUAGACUAACACUUCAUCGUAUAAAACUUUUCAUUUAACCUACUUCGGAGAACUAUAGCAACAUACAUGUGGAUUAUCAUAGCCAUCGAAUAUGUCAAUCUCUACGUAGUGGUUCUGAAUAAUAUCAAUCACUGCGGCCGACAAGCAUCACAUGCACCGCCACACUGCAGGUAGAUUCUAAUUACCAUCGAAUAUGCCAAUCUCUAAGUUGUGGUCCAAGCCACCAUAACCCUUUCGGGAUCCGCCUACUCAUAACAGGCUAUAACAGAAGAAUGCUUCUGAAUAAUCAUCAAUACUACGGCCGACAAGCAUCACACGCACCGCCACACUCCACAUGUAUGACUUGAUCACGCUGGAUGAAUUGAUCACAACUACCAAUAUGCCAAGUUACCAUGGCUAAUCAAUCUACUUCCUUCCACUAAAUCCUUGAUUGCCUUAGAAAAAAAUGCUUCUUCAUUCAACAUAUAAUAUACUCCAUCUGCACUCACCCCGAGUGACCUUGAAUCACGAGACCAUGUUGUCUCGAAUCCUACAAACCAUUUCGUAUUUCUCAAUGCUACCCGUAAGUCAAAAUAUCAUAGAACAUUCUUGUCACCUUCUCAUAAGCUUCUACAAAGCUUGAUUCUUAACUGUACCCAUAGGCUCGAAAUUACUGAGGACCACACUUGAACUNNNNNNNNNNNNNNNNNNNNNNNNNNNNNNNNNNNNNNNNNNNNNNNNNNNNNNNNNNNNNNNNNNNNNNNNNNNNNNNNNNNNNNNNNNNNNNNNNNNNNNNCACCCACUCUGUCUUGGUCCUGAAUAUAACUCACUCCAUAGCUCUUAUAACUUACGAAUACUCUCUCAGCGAAGCACUCGGUGAAAUCACUUCCUCUAAAACCUGUAUCUAUACGAGGCAUAAAUCCUGAAUCUUUUUCCAAGUCCGAACAUGAGCCAAUAAAGCCAUCCAUCGCAUGCCUCCAAUAAUUCAUUUGCUCGAAUUACCAAUUAUGGUCUUUUCUCAUAGCUGAAAUAACCCAUCAAUAUGCUAAUAACCAGAAAUUAUGCAAGUAGCUAAUCAUACAACCCAAUAUUAGGCGGUGGGACUCUCCCACUUAGCUUGAAGCCAUCAUUUCACAACCCUUGAGUUCGCUCGAUCCUUUUUACCUCUUAUUGACAGAACCUUGCGCCAUAAAUUGUCAAAUUUCUUGGAAUCUUCCUGUAAAUACCCAUCUUCCAUAAUAUGAAUCCUCAUCCACAUUCGCACGACCGAUCUCCUUGUGGAGCAACCAAUAUAAUUUCUUUGCGGAAGCUUCGCCAACCACGCGACCACUAACCUGCUUACGGGGAAUAACCCAUCUGGGGGAAUCACCUCCCAACAUCUUCAAACUCCGUUAGACGGGGUGCCUUUGCUACGAUAUCGAUAACCCAUCCUGAGUCCGAGCUCGCCUUCCAGUUGCACAAGUCCCUUCACCCCUAGCGGACAUCAAUUAAAUGUGCGAAAAUAUCCUCCCAAGUAAAAAUUAUGCUGCAUCUUCCUUCAGGUCAAGCAACUCCUUUCCGCUAUAUCAAAUCUUAUGUCGCAUAAUGGACCGUGCUUCAAGUUCACCCCGUAGGCCCCAAUCACUAAUCUCUGAAGUUCUCCGAUCAUUCCAAUCUCUCUUUAAGGUGCGUAGGCAUCAUACUACCAAGCCCAUAUGUAAUCCCCGCCACUCUCCCACUUUGGCGGAACUCAUCUCCUUAAUCGGUCACUCGACCUUGAUUCUCAUACUUGGCCUCCUAGAAAUUUUAAACACAGUCCGACCCUUCCCACAUGUCAUUCCUCGUACUUCACUGCUCAAAUGUUUCCUUAAAUGAAAUCUAUCUUCGUGGCACUUGAAUCCACCAUUACUGCUAACUUUAAAAUCUUUCCAAAGGCCAUCUUUCUCGGUCCAUCAACAUAAAAAAAAAAAUCUGCAUCGAUCUUAAACCACCGCGCCAUGGGAUAUCUGACGGUUGUAUCUCAAAUCCUAUUUCACAAUAUCCUGCCAUAAGGCUAAUUGUAGCGGAUUAUAAUAUCGACAAACUAAGUACAUUUUGUUAUGGCCACAUUACCCCCUUAAUAAUAGAAAGCUCAACCACGCUUGUAGAUACCGGUCUCAUUACUUCUACCAGCCCAAAUCUGACCAUCCUUAGUCCGACUGUCUUUCCCCUUGCCAGGGAUAAAAUACUGAAUCCCUUGAUCACAUGCUGAGUAAACUUCCUUUCAGUUCAUCAACUGCCCCGACACGUGGGCAAAUAUCCUGUCAUCAACACCACACCGCAGAAUAAUAGCUAAUAAGCAUCAUGGCAACAUGUGCCUAGCCUCAAGGCCCUUAGAGUACCGCUGCUGAGUCGAAACAAUACAAUAUCCUUCCAUAGAGCGACUAUAACAGUCCGAUCAACUAUAUCGGGAGAAACAUCCCGCACCACAUCUGUAGUGCCAUUGCAAUUCUUCAAAUUUUCAAUUUCUAGCAAGCACUCGCAUCGCAUAAGACUGACUUGGAAGGAAUCAAAGGCAUAAGCCUCAAAAGAAUUGAACCGCACGAUAAGGAAAUCAAGAAGGGAAGUACUCCUAACAGCCCUGUAGCCUCCCGAGGAUAAGUAUAGAAGUCUCUGUACCGAUCCGCGAGAUUUUACUAGACUUGCUCAUGACUCGUGAGACCGACGGGAACCUAGUGCUCUGAUACCAUGUUGUCACGACCCAAAAAUCUACUAAGGGUCGUGAUGUCGCCGGACAGUGCUGUCUGGCAAGCCAACCAGAUUACAUAAUCAAAUCUCGUUUUAACACUUUUGGAAAUACACGGUUUUUCUUUCAUAGUUAGAAAUUCUAAAGAAAGCCAUUUUCAAAUCAAAAUUCUUUUAUAGUUAAGCAAUUAAUACAAUGUUUCAACCAUCCCAGAACCCGGAUUAACAAGUACAUGAGCAUCUACUGGUAAGAGGAAUAUAAAUACAUCAUCCAUCCGGAAAAAUGGACAGAAAAUUAAUACAGUACUGGAAAGGGACUACCCAACUACGGCCGUCUCGAAUGAUGCAGCUCUCUAGUCCCUAGAAUCAUUCAUGCUGCUAAAUCUAGCAGACUACUAAAAUCACAUAUACAUGUGCAACAAAAUGCACAGCAAGUGUAGUAUGAGUACAAAAAUAACGUGUAUCCAAUGAGUGUCCCACCUAAUUCCGAAGGAGUAGAGACGAGAUGGUCAAUCCUGACACUCAUUAACAGUCCAAUGACUAUUUAUCCUUUAAAAUAUAUCCAACCAGUGAAUUGGUUUUAUAAACGAGAUUCUAAUCUAGAUAUGGGAAAACAGGUAGUCAUACAAUUCUUUCAUGGGAAAUUCCUUAGUUUUCUUGUUAUUAUUAAAUAAAUGAUCUCGAGCCAUAGUGUGGCAUGAAACAACUCAAACGAGUUUAAGAUAACAGCAAAAACAUGCACAAAUCAUGCCGAAGCGAUGGCCCACUCCAAUAGAAAUGUAAAUUUGUGCAUUACCGAGGGUCGAGCGGCUAGUACCAUAGAUGCAUCCAUUUCACCGAGGCGAUCGGCCUGUUCCAACAUAAAUAUAAACACACGUAGAUAGAUAAUCAGUCAAACAAUCAUCGUUGAGCAAAUAUCCAAGUAAGGUCCAUUCCCUUUUGAUAAUUUGAGAAAAACAUAGCUUUAGUCUUUUUAGAAAUCCGCUUAUUAAUUUAAUAUAAUUAAAGCAUUUCAAGCCAUCAAUGAUUUACAAAUGAUUCAACUAUAACAUGCUUUUGGGUCCUAGACUACCCAGACAAUAGCAUAACAGUAGCUAUGCACGGACUCCCGUCACCUUAUGCGUACGUAGCCCCCACAAAUAGGAGCACAUAAUCACUUUAAUUCACAUGUGGGGUAAUUUCCCCCUCACUGGAUUAGAAAGAAGACUCACGUCGCCCAAAGACUCAAUAUCUGCAUUCUUCAUUCCUCCAAAGACUUAAACCAAUGCACAAAUGCUCCAAAACUAGCCAAACAACGGCAAGCUAAUAAGAAUAAACUCAAAUACUUACUAACAAUUCAAAUUAUAUAAUUUCCCAACUCUGUUUGUGAAAUUAUCAAAAUGCCCUCGGGCCCACGUGCCCGGAAAUCCGAAAUUUCUCAAAGAUAAAGGUUACUCGUGACCUUAGGAACUCAAAUAUAUAGAUUUUCCUUAAUACCACAUCCAACAUCGUGGUCAAAAAUCCAAAAUAUUAAUUUUUUAGGUUUUCCUCUAACCCUCAAUUUUUGCUCUAAUUUUCAUGCUUAAAUCCAUGUAUAAGUGAUGUAUUCUACUCAAAAGUGAUAGGGGUAACUUACCUCAACAUUGACGACAAAAUUCUCUCAUGAAUCUCCCUAAAAACAGCCCAAGCCAUGAAGAAAAGGGAGAAAUGAACCAAAUCCCACGAUUUAAAACAAGGUUCUGCCUCCAGCGCUUUCCACUUUUGUGGUCCCGCUUUUGCGGACAUCUCAGCCGCUUCUGCAGCCUCUCCACUCGCCAGACCAACCGCUUCUGCGGUAUACCCAUCGCAGAAGCGAGUUCGCUUCUGCGGAAUAAAAUCUGCUUCUGCGGUUCCUGGCCAAACGUCCACUUCCGCUUCUUCAUCCCCUUCGCCGCUUCUGCAGGGCCGCUUCUGCAGUCCCAUUUCCGAAGAAGCGGUAAUACCAGCAACCAGCAACCUCAAAUAAUCAUACCAACCAGUUCUAAAGCAUAUUACGGACUUGCUCGAGGCCUCAAAUCGUAUCGAACACCAUUAAAACCACAAAUCGACCUCCAAUCCAAGCUUUAUGAACUUAGAACUUUCUAACUUCUAUUUCCAAUGUUUAAACCUAUCAAAUCACGUCCGAUUGACCUCAAAUUUUUCAGCAAGUCAUAUUCGACAUUACAGACCUAUUUCAACUUCCGGAAUUUGAUUUCGAUCCCGAUGUCACAAAGUCAACCCCCCAAUCAAACUCUUCAAAAACUUUAAAAUUGCUAUCUUUAGCCAAAUGGCUUCAAAAUGACAGAAUUUACUUCUGAUUACGCUUCCAACUCCAAAAUCACCAUACGGACCUACUCCCAGUCUUGGAAUUCCAAACGCACAUUGAUAACACCGAACUGCACUUCAAAUCAAACUUAUGAAAUUUCUCCUAAAAUACUAACUUCCACAAUGGGCGCCAAAAUGCUCCAGAGUUAUCCUAAACCCACUCCGGGCAUACGUCCAAGUCCGAAAUCAUCAUACGAACCUGCUGGAACCUUUCGAUCCCGAUUUCGAGGUCGUUUACUAAAGAAUUCAACUGUAGUUCAUUCUUUCAACUUUAAGCUUCUCAAAUGAGAAUUCUUAUCUAAGUUUAACUCCGAUCUUCGUGACUUUCUGUUUCGACCAUAAACACAAGUCAACAUACCUGAAACGAAGCUGCUCAUGGCCUCAGACCGCUGAACGACGUGCUAGAGCUCAAAACAACCGGUUGGGUCGUUACAUCUGAAGGUUCCACAUUCUGCGUUUUAGUAACUUGCGAGCUACCAGUUCCCGUAAGUUUCCUAGCUGAAUCAUUGUUGCAUUUUUCCUGGGUCUUCCCCUCCCCAUUGUUGUUCAGCGUAUGUUAGCAAAAGCACGCUCUCAUGCGCUGAGAGAGAAGAGAGAGAGAGAUUAAACACAAUAAAAUUAUGUAAUAUAAAUAUUACCAAUUAAAAAGUCAUAAUAAAAAUAAACAUAAUCUAAGAGUACUAAGUCAUGCUAAAAUAAGUAGAUUAAUAAGGGAUUAUUAAAUACAUGACUAAACGCUAAAGAAAAAAUAAUAAUAAUAGGUUAUGCUUUUUAUCUAAAUUAUUGCAAAAUAAAAAAUAGAUAUUCAAUACAUUCCCCUUUGUAGUAUUGAAUUAAAUAUCUUUUGUUAGAAUUAGCAUCGAUUUGAUUUUGGUUUGGGCUUUUGUCGGCACUAUUUAGUUUACUAAUGUUAAUGGCUAUAAAACUUAUUGGAACAUUCAAAAGUUCUAAGCCCAAUCUUAAAAUAAUACCUAAAAAAAUAAAAUAAUAAAAUCUUUUAAGAAAGAUUUAUAAAUUACAUCACAAUAAGUAUAUAUAUAUUAAAUAUAUCUAAAAUUCAUAUAUAUGUAAUGUCAGGUUGGUUUGGAUUCGGUUUGAGUUUCUUUAGUUAAAACCAAACCAAACCAAUUAUGGUCGGUUUUUUUUCCAAUACCAAACCAAAUCAAACCAAUCCAUAGUCGGAUUUUUUUCUCGGUUUGACUCGAAUUAUCGAGUUGGUGUGGUUUAUCGAUUUUCUUUCUACACUCCUAUACUCUAUAUAACGUGGAUGACUAGAAUUCAACAAAUUUAGCAACGUGAUACGUACUGCUAUAAAAUCAAGACGAAUUUGGAAAGCUUGACGACCAACAAAAGCUUAAGAGUGGCAUAUAUUAAUUGAAUGCGAUCAACUAUCGUGUAUCCAAUGUUCAAAAUUAAUCACAAGGAGUGCUGAUGUUAGGCUACAAAGAAAACUUCCUCGCAUACGUUAAAAUCUUUAUGGUAUAUGAAACGAUUAAUCAACUUUUGGUAUUACCUCAAAAAGAAAUAAAUAAAAACAUAUACCAUACACAUGAUCUAGAUAAGUAUAGGGUUGACUUGGACUUCACCAGCUCCUCACUUGUUCUUCUUCGUUUUUUUUCUUAACUUAUACAUCUAAUUUUCUCAAUCUUUGGGUGUGUUUGGUCCUUUAUCAAAAUGUUUUUUUAGAAAAUAUUUUAUUUUAUUAUUUAUUUUUUCUUAUUUGGUUAGUGAGUAGAAAAAUAUUUUUAAGAAAAUAAUUUUUUAUAUUACUCUUUCCACCCUCCCUUCCCCAAAUCCUCAUGUUUACUGUGCUCCCCCCCNNNNNNNNNNNNNNNNNNNNNNNNNNNNNNNNNNNNNNNNNNNNNNNNNNNNNNNNNNNNNNNNNNNNNNNNNNNNNNNNNNNNNNNNNNNNNNNNNNNNNNNNNNNNNNNNNNNNNNNNNNNNNNNNNNNNNNNNNNNNNNNNNNNNNNNNNNNNNNNNNNNNNNNNNNNNNNNNNNNNNNNNNNNNNNNNNNNNNNNNNNNNNNNNNNNNNNNNNNNNNNNNNNNNNNNNNNNNNNNNNNNNNNNNNNNNNNNNNNNNNNNNNNNNNNNNNNNNNNNNNNNNNNNNNNNNNNNNNNNNNNNNNNNNNNNNNNNNNNNNNNNNNNNNNNNNNNNNNNNNNNNNNNNNNNNNNNNNNNNNNNNNNNNNNNNNNNNNNNNNNNCAAAAAUUAACCUUUUAAAAAUUCACAAAAUCCGAAGGGACUUACGUGUUGCUUUACUUUUCAUGCAAAAAAGAAGGUUGAUGUAGAGUUUGAAAAAUAGUUUACCUUCUCGUGAUAUGAAAAAUAUUUUCCUCCAAUUUAAAAAAAAUGAGUUUAGUAGAAAAAUACUUUUCAAAUCAUUUAAGAUAGCCAAACCUUGAAAAAUAAAAAAAUUAUUUUCCUCCAAUUUGAAAAAUAUGAGUUUAGUAAAAAAAUAAUUUUUAAAUUAUUUAAGCUAUAAGAAAAAAAAUCAUUCGUACUAAACGCACCCUUAAUUACCACUUACUAUUAACUUUCGCUUUUUCGUCAUGUGACGCGAAACAAAGUUAUUCGCGGUUGCAAGAUGUACAAGACAACAAUCAAUGUUAACAAAUGCAUAACCAAAUAUCCAAAUCUAUCAAACUCCAACCAACCUUUGGAAAAAAAUUCAAACUAUGACCCACUCAUCAUUCAAGUCUUUUUGACCAUUCUGGCCAAAUGUUAUUUACUUUCUUUUUUAUUAGUCUCAAAUGAAAUUGUUAAAAUUCCUGGCACAAAAAGGCACGUCAAAAAGGUGCUGCCCCAUAUUAUACGGUUAAGAUCACUUUCAAGAUUGCCCAUUAAAAAUUAAACCAACAAAAGUUGAACAAGUCCCUACGAAAAUGAUCCUCCUGAUUUCAAACUAAUUUACUUGACUCUUCUCUCUUCUUCAGCGAAUUAUUUGUGAAUUAAAUAUAAAAUGAUUUAUAUACUUAAAAAGGAAAGAUGACUUUGUAUUAAGCCAUGAAUUGAAGUCAACUUCUAACUACAAAUGGCCCACUAGUCGGAUUCAUGGCUUAACAAUCACUUCCUCCGGUCCAUAAUAAAUGAUUUAUUUGCUUUGAGCAUACCUACUAAAAAAAUAUUAAAUUUUAGACGAAAAUAUAUAGUGUGACUAAACACCCUUCAUUAAAUGUUGCUCCAUAGUUAUAGAAGUACUUAUUUCUCUUCUCAAGUAUGAGGAUAGGGGUGUGCAUUCGAAUCGACUUAUCAAUAAAUCGAAUCGAUUAGUUUUUAUCGAAAUCGAAAAAAUUAAAAUCAAAAAAAUCGAAAUCUAAUUGAAACGAUAACGAUAAGCAUAUGUACAAAUCGAUAAUCGAUAAGUAAUUAUUAAUAAGGGUCAAAAUCGAAUCGAUAAAUCGAAUGCACACCCCUACUAGUAAGUCUCUUAUUCUUCUUGUUGUUGCUCAUUUUUGUGUUGUUCCAGCUCGUGUGGGAGGUUUUUCUAAACACACCCCCUAUAUGAGGAGUAAAUGACUUGUUGGGGAUACAGAUAUAUUGGUAAUUUUAAAAAAAUAAAUUAAUUUUUUUAUUAUAAUAUAAAUAAAUAUUUAUUUUAAUAAAUAAUAAAUAUCGCAUAUUAUGGACCGGACAUAGUGACCAUAAAAAUAUUUGUAGGGACGGUCAUCAAUCCAACGAGGUCAAGAAUGAAAAGGAAAUUACUCCUAGUUAUAUCAUUUUAUAACUUUUAAAAUAAUUAAUCCCAUGUCAUCAAGUUGGUAGUGCAACCCUCACUCCCACGCCCGGGGAUACCGAAAGGUGUCCUGUGAUAUUGGGAAUACUCUUUAUGUUGUCACUGCCUAAACAGAGAACAAUCUUUAUGCAAUUACGUAUCCUUUGAUAUAGGGAAGACACUUAGUACUCAGUAAAAAGUUACCCGCACAUAAUACACUGUUGGGUAGGGGUGCAUACAGGUUGGGUUGGUUUGAAUUUUACAAUGAUAAAUCUCACUUUAUAUCUAUUAGGUCCAAACUAUUUACUUUUUAAUACCCAUCCCCAAACUAUUUACUCUUCCUACUUAGUCGGCCCAAUCUAUUUACCUGCCCCCGGCCCAAUCUACCCAUCUCUCCUUUAUCUUCUAUCCAGCCCAUUCUUCCCACGAUCUACCCAUCUCUCCCUUCGAUCCAGCCCAUUCUUCCCAUGGUUUCUCUAUCAGUUAACAGAGUACACUUUCCAUAAAAAAAACUCCAUAGCCAACCAAGAACGCAAAUGUGAAACACAUUCGAGUUGUAAUUUUUUUUCUUCCGAUUCCGUUCUAUCUCUUCAUCUAGUACCUAAUUUUUGGUGACAUUUUUGCUUUGGAUGAAUUUUGUGCUUCUGAAAGUACAUUUUAGUGAAAUUGGGUUUUCAAAAUCAAAGAAUUUUUAUGUUUUCCUUUGCACUUUUGUGAAUCAAUGUUUAUGAGUUGUUGUUUUCUCUAUGGGUCGGAAGAGUUGUACACGUAGAUGGUGGGGCUUUGGACAAUAUCAUUCUUCAAAAAAGUAGCUGCUGAAUCUGUUGCCUCAGCCAUGUCUGAGCCUAGUUUUUCCUUAUUUUCUGAUUCCCGGUCUCCACUUAGUCGUAACCCUAGUAGUAGUCAUGUUGAAAACACUACUGAAAAUGUAGAAUUAGAGGGUGAAAAAGUCAAAAAUACUAAUAUCGCGUCAGUCGAUGAAACUCCCUACCUGUCAUUACCCGACACAAAUUCCAAACCAGUAGGUGUUACUGUGACCGAUAAAGGAAAAGGUAAAGUUGUUGAGGAUUCUGAGUUAGGGGGAAGCCAACGUGAAUUUGUGCCUGAAACAGAGACUCAAUCAGUAGAUGUUGAUUGUCGCGAUGAUUCUCAGUUAAAGAAUAGAAAAAUUGGUGUCGCACCCAAGAAGGUAAUUUUCUUACAAUUAUGAUCUUUGCGAUUCUUAAUGUACAGUACAUUGUUAUUUUUUGGUUCCUGUUAUGCUUUUAUAUUAUAUUAUGUUAUAGUAAGUUGUAUUAAUUUUUUGAAUUAAAUAGACAUAUUAAAUUAAUGUUCUGGUUGAGGUUUAAAAAAAUGAUCGUCGAUUCACUAGUGAUGUCAAUCAGUAACUGUUGUUGUCAACCAAAUUUAUUGAAGUCGGAGUUUCUCUGUGUUAUUUUUGAUUUUCAGUUUUGUACUAGAUAAUUUUGUGCGUGAUCUAGUGCUUAGGCCAGUUGAUAAUGGGGAGAAGCUAGUAUGAAAAUAAUUUGUUGAAUUGAUGCUAAGUAGUAUACAAAAAAAAAGGCAAGUACUUAGUUACAUCAUUAACAUAGUACUUGAGUCUGGAAAGGGGAGGCAAUGUUAUUGGGUUACAGAAAUUUUUUGCUCAGAAAGUAUGUCCAUCAAUGCAUUCAUGCAUGAGAUUGCACUUUUUUAUGCAACUGCUUGGCCGGUGGCACAAUUUUUAUUUUAGUUCAUAGGAUGUUGUUAUGUAGCCAAAACCGACGUGUUAUAUAGCCAUUAUGUACAUAAUGUUGUCUCUAUAAAGAAUUGGCUUUGCUAAUCUUGAUUAAGCUUAAUAUGCUAAAACACAUAGUUGAAACUGUUUGCGUGACUUAGUUUUGCUUGUCAUGUCUCUUUGUGAUCGUUCUGUGUACAAUUGGCCAACGAGCACUAGUUGUUAUUUAUAUACAUUCUCAACAACUAGCCUAAGGAGUUGAGUUUUGAAACCUAUUAUGUUGCAACUUUGUCUCCCUUUAUGGUUCAAUUUUUUGGUUUAACAAAAAUGUAACAAGUUUCUAGGAUAAGGUACAUCUUUUGUCUUGACAAAGAUAAUCUUUUGCUGACGAUGGUAGUUGCAUAGUUUUAUGAAUUUCAGGUUAAUCUCGCUUUCAUUAAGUUGACUAAUAGAUAAAGCGUAAUAUUUGAAGCAAUUCUACCUCCUUUUUAUUGUUCUUUCUCAUAUAUUUGGCAUUAGUUCUCUCUGAUUUUUCUUAUUAUCAGUUAAAUAUUGUUAUGUUAAUAAAACUUUUUGAUGAACUGAAAGAUAAGAAUUUGUUCUACCCUUGAUUUAUUUUAAGUGAAUUCUAUUUCUGAAAUUAUUUUAUAUGAAAACGUUUUGCAGUGUUGGGAUUUCCUUGUGCCUAUUGACUUAAAUUAUAAACCAAAGGUUGAUUGGGAUACUAUCUGCCAUAUUAUUGAUCAUUUGAAAGCGAAUUUAUCAAAGAGGCAAUUUCAACUGUUUAAAAAAUGUGCUUUGACUAUUUUUUGGAUAUGUCACCUGUGAUUGUGCAAAUUCAUAUUAUGCAUCAUUUGCUUAUGAGAGAAGUACAUCAUCAGGUUAAAAAUGAGAUGUGGUUUAUAGUGAAUAAUUCUAGGUUGAGGUUUGUCUUGGGUGAAUUUGCACUUGUCACUGGGUUUAGAUGUAAGGGUGAUACAAGUGUAGAGAGCAUAGCAGAGAAUAGGUUGAUUUCGAAAUAUUUUGGGACUGCAUCCGUGACCUUUUUCCAACUAGCAGACUGUUUUAAGAAGAAGAAAAUAGGAAACGGAUAAUGAUGCGUUGAAGAUAGCAGUUCUGUAUUUUGUCAACAACUUCUUAUCCCAACUAGAAGACUAUUUUAAGAAGAAGAAAUGGGAAACAGAUGACGAUACGUUGAAGAUAGCAGUUAUGUAUUUUGUCAACAGCUUCUUAUUUUUUCAACGCAAAACAAAAGCUAUUUCACAGUCUUACAUUGACUUGGUUGAGUCUGGUGAUUUUAAUAAUUAUUCAUGGGGUAUUGAUGUUUAUAAAGCUACAAUUGAGUCGUGUUCCAACAAGUUUCAAGAGAAGCCUUCUUUUUAUAGACUUGGUGGCUUCCCGUUGGCUUUACAGACUUAGUUGUAUGAAUGUUGCCCAAGUUGGAUGGUCACUUUGCUCAUCAUCUUGCAAACAACAAACUUCCACGAAUUUUGAAUUGGGUGGUCAUGGGUCAAAUCCCGAAUGAGCUAGUUGCUUUGCGAAUGUGUAGCUUGCAAUGUGAAGAGGUAAUUUUCUCAUAGUUUUAUUGUUUCUCUUAAUUUUUUGGUACACUAGUUUAGUCACAGUUGUAUCAAUAUCCCAGUUUAGUGAUAUACUAUGUUGGUAUAUAUGUAUACUAUAUUGGUAUCAUAUAUACUAUAUCCCAGUUCGGUGAUAUACUUUGUUGGUAUACAUGUAUACUAUAUUGAUAUCAUAUAGUAUACAUGAGACAAAUAUAGUUUUAUCAUUUCUAUUUCAAACUAGUGUGCUUAAUAGUUGUAGGUAAAGAACAUCACCCCAACUGAUGAUGAGAAGAAAAAAUUUUAUGUGCGUGGUCUAAGUUUUGAAAUUGAAGCUGAGUGCAGUGACAGCCAGCCCAACCAACCCGAUAGCUUUCAGGUUUUUGGCACUCAAUUACCAAAAACACAAAGUAUGUAUGAAAGUACUGGAGGUGAUUCCCAACCUACUAAUGCUGAGGCAAUGAAGGAGUUAAAAGCUUUGAAGCUUUUUGUAGAGAACAAGUUUGAGAAGGUGCUUGCAGCUAUUGGUAGGCAAUCAAUGAAACCAGAGGGAAAUUUAGCGUUAUUCAUCUUUUAUAUAAUUUAAUGCUAUAGUAUAUUGUUCAAAGAUGCAAUAUAUGCUUAUAAUAUACAUAAUACUAAAAUUGUUAGUUUCUCAUUUUCAGCAUAAGCAACGGUAUAAUGAUCCUGACUUUCGUCAGAUGCGUAAUAAUUAUGACAAGUUUGAAAGUGGCAAGUUGGGAAUGAUCCUGUAAUUAUUGGAGAUGGCACGCCCAAAGCACCUUCUAGUAUGUAAAUCACAGAUUUGAUUGAUUUUUUUUCUUGUGUUUUGAAAAUAGUUCUGUUGCUUAUACUUUUAUAUGUUUAGUAUCUGGUUUUCGUAAAUGCCCAUGAUUUUGACUUUGAUUCUAACUUUGAAUUGCAUGCAUCUGCACUUGAUCAAAUCACUGCCAUUACACAACAAGCAACAUAUAAACAGUCAUCUCAUGAUAUUAAAAAGUCAGGUCCUGCUCCACUUCCAUCAGGAAUGCCUGUACAGACACAAGCAAAUGUUGUUAUUGAGUGUAAUACUGCUCCAUAGGGUACGAUGUUGAUAUUAUUAAUUCUGUAGUUAGUAUGUAAAUGAUAGGUUCUUGAUAGUUUUUUAUUUUUUAUUUAAGUAGUUAUGUUGAUAAUGCUUUUAUGUGUUCAGCAUGUCCGGUUGAUAGUGUUGGUCAAGUGGAUGAUGGUGGCAGUAAUGUGAAUUUGCUUUCUAGUAAUGUCUUCUAUAUAUAACUUUUCAUUCUUUUUUUCUAAAUUUCUUAACUUUGUAUAUUUAUUUCUUCACUAGCAUUUUCUAAUUUAAGCACCAUGUCGACACGGGGUUGAUCUUCACUUGGAUUCUGGUUUUGAAUAUACUGAUUCUCAACUUGACCAAAUUGCUGCCAUAACACAAGGAGGGAGAUGUAAUGUGAAUCAAUCAAGAAAUGAACUGACAACUGGAGCUAUAAAUAAGUGUGAACCUCAUCAGUCGGUAUCAAGAAGUAUUGUCAAGAUACAAACAGACGUUGAAACUACUCUUGCAGUUUUGACCCGGAAAAAGUGCCAUGCAGCUGUAAAAUAGUCGCCGUAUAGGAAUGAUUAGCUAUCUGGUGUUAGUGCUAUUGGGGGAUCCUCGAAAGUUAUCAAAGGAAGAUUUCCAUUUGUAAAUGACAUUUCAGAGACUGUUAAUUUUAAGCUUACGACUUCAUUCUCCAACUUAGUUGAAGCAAACAUGCAACUGGGAGAGUGCGUAUUCGUUUCCAUGUACUUUUGUUUUCAUUUUUCCUUAAUGUUUGUUGUUAUAUUUCUUAUUCAUAUCUUCUUUUAUACGAAACAGGGAAGUGUAUUAACCUGCGGAUCAAAAGCUAGAGCCUUGUUUUGACUUUUGAGUUGAAUAAAUUGAUGAUAAUAUAUUUUUCCACACCUUAAACUAUUCUAGCGGGACGCUUUCUAGUUCGGUAUGUAUAUUUAUUAGAGUGCAUCUAUUUCGAACUAACAUUAAAUUAUGAAUCUACCUGAGCAAGCAUGGUGCUUGGUGUACUUGUCCAAAAAAUGACCUUAGCCAAAAUCAAGAAUGCGAGUUAAAUAAAAUUGAAGAAGUCGUAGAUUUUGUGGUUUUGGCCACCUAAUUUCCCACAUGAAUCUUAUCAUUCAAGGUAUUGGUGUAGUUUAAAUUUUAGUUUUAUCCUCUUUUUGCUACCCUUUAUUGUUCCAAUUUUGUCACUUUUAGAUAUAAAUCUGUAACUAUUUUGAAGCUCUAUGUGCUGUUAGAAGAUUGAUUCUUGUCAAGCUUCACAUUCCAUUAUGCGACUGAAACUUCACAUGGAAAAAGGUUAAGCACAUAUAUAUAGAAUUUACGAAAGAUCUCUUUUCUUCCUCUUCUUUCACCAUUCUUAGGUUAAAGCUGGUUGGUGCUCUUUCAAAUACAUUCUUUUUGCUUUUUAUGGCACCAAGUUUGCAUUUUUAUGUGUUGAUUUUAGCUAAUUCUUAGUGAAUUUGGUAAUAUAGUUAUUAUUCCUGCUCGAAUGCAUACCCACUUUUAUGUGCUGCUUUUAGCUAUUUCUUAAUGAAUUUGGUAAUAUAGUCAUUAUUCCUGCUCGAAUGCAUACCAAUAUGCUUAUGUAGGUGACAUGAUAUCAGUUCUUUAGUGUAACUGUUGCUAAUUUAUUUUUCAAAUAAGUUUGAGAAGUAUUUCUGCAUUUUUGAAACAUAUAUACCUGAGGACAUGUUUGUGGAAAUUUUGUAAUAUGCAUGAUAUGAUUAGUUGUACUGCUUUUUAUUUUUUGUUAUUGUAGUAGUUCAUUUUGAGGUUAUGGCCACCUAAUUUCCCACCUGAAUCUUAUCAUUCAAGGUAUUGGUGUAGUUUAAAGUUUAGUUUUAUCCUCUAUUUUGCUGCCCUUUAUAGUUCGAAUUUUGUCACCUUUAGAUAUAAAUCUGUAACUAUAUUGAAGCUCUCUGUGCUGUUAACAAGAUUGAUUCUUGUCAGGCUUCACAUUCCAUUAUGCAACUGAAACUUCACAUGGAAAAAAGUUAAGCACAUAUAUACAGAAUUUGCGAAAAAUCUCUUUUCUUCCUCUUCUUUCGACAUUCUUUAGGUUAAAGCUGGUUGGUGCUCUUUCAAAUACACUCUUACUGCUUUUUAUAGAACCAAGUUUGCGCUUUUAUGUGCUGAUUUUAGCUAAUUCUUAGUGAAUUUAGUAAUAUAGUUAUUAUUCCUGCUCGAAUGCAUACCAAUAUUCUUCUGUAGGCGACAUGAUAUCGGCUCUUUAGUGUAACUGUUGUUAGUUUAUUUUUCAAAAGUUUGAGAAGUAUUUUUGCAUUUUUGAAAUAUAUAUUACAUGGGGACAUGUUUGUGGAAAUUCUGUAAUAUGCAUGAUAUGAUUAGUUGUACUGCUUUUUAUUUUUUGUUGUUGUAGUAGUUCAUUCAUAUUGUUAGUGGCAGUCAUAUUUUCUUACUCUGCGUUUUUUGCAGAACUUGAAUAUUAUAUUCUACUAUCUUAGGAAGAAGGAAAAUAUGGAAAUAAUAUGCCAAGAAAAGUGACAACUACAGAUACUCUCUUUAAUAAUAUCAUUCAAAACGUUUUCAAAGAAUUUGUAAAAUGUGGGAAAAAAGAUCAUUUGACUGAUAGAUCAGAUGAUAUCAUGCAGUACAUGAAAGGAUUUAGGAUGCAUUGCAACACUCCAUGGCACCAGGUUGAUCAUGUGUGUCAUUUCACAAAAGAUGUUUUUACAUAUAUGACUCGAUACGUAGUCGAAAGAAUAAAAGAGCUAUUCAAAAGGUGGCAGAGGAUUAUGUUGUAUUUAUCCCCCUAUUUCCAGUUAGUAUUGAUUUUUUUAACCAAACAAAUGACAUUGUAGUAGAAAAUGGUCUGCACAUGGGAAAGAAUUUGACUGAUCCUUUUGAGAUUGAACUAAUUACUAAUCUGCCAACACAACAAAAUUCGUAAAAAUAGUUACUUUAUUGUUUACUUUCUUUUCCUCAUUCAUAUUAACAUUUUCACUUCUAAUUGAUUUUUAUAUUCUAUUCAUUUGUUUUAUUUCAGAGAUUGUGGAGUAUAUGUUGCUUGCUUUGCUGAUUAUAUUAUUGAUGAUCUUCCAAUCCAUGUUGUCAAUUUUGAUGUGGUUGGUCUUCGAGCUAGGUUUGGUAUAUUGUUAGGGCACUAUGGGAGGAACAAGCAGCUGAAUGGUGAAUCAAGUGAAUCUGAGGCUCUAGUAGCACCUAAAAAGACUCAUGGAAAGAAACGCAAGAAGUAGUAUAGGUAUUUUUUUUGUUUUAGUUAAUCGUAUCAUGAAAAGUUUGCAAGAUUUCAAUAGUUUUUGGUGAAGUAUGGUAAUAUUAGUAGUAAAUGACCUUCUGGUGAUUCAAGACUUUAGGAAACUUGUGAAUUUAUAAAAUAAUUCCAGCUGCUAAUGUUUCUUUUGUCAUAUUUAAUUAUUAUGGUUCAGUUGAGUUAUGUCUCUUGAUGUUGAAUAUUUACUGAUGUUAUUUCUUAUUUCAGCUUGUUUUAGUAGGAUUUUCUUAGGAUUUUUCCAUAAAGUUGUUGAUUUAUUAGGAUGUCGAGGUUCAUUCAUUUGCCAGAGGUUAAGAUUUGAUGGAUUCCGCAAGUGAAAAUUAGGGACGAAUGAAGUGAAGUUAAAUGAUAUGCUUUCGAAUGUGUUGAUGCUCUAAGCUUUAAUGUUCAUCUGUAGUUUUAGCAUAGAUGGUUAGUGCAGUAUCAUUGUAUACCAAUCAGGUAUACUGAUAUACUAUUUGGGUAUCACGUUGUAUUUGACUCACCUUUUUUUGCUGCAAUAACUAGAUGUAAGUACUGGCAUGAGUUGCAAAGCAUGCGCAUUUUCAGUAUCACCUUGUAUCUGGUGCACCAUUUGUAUUUCUGCAUAUUUUGUUUUAGCCAUAUUAGUGCAAUACCACUAUAUACCAGCGAGGUAUACAAAUAUAACAUUUCGGUAUUACCGUGUAUUAAUGUACCUUAUGAUGUACAAUAACUGUAUGUAAAUGGCUUCCAAUUUGUUAUACUUAAAUACAGACAUGAGCUGCAAAGCGUACCCAUUUUGUUAACAAAGUAUGUGCAAAUGUUGCAUUUGCAGCACCAUUUUUAUUUCUGCACAUAUUUUUAUACUAAUAAGUUAUAGAGAUAUACUAAUAAGUAUACAGAUAUACCACUUGGGUAUCACAUAUAUAUUUUAGCAUCUUUUUUUUUCUGAAGCGAGUAGAUGUAAAUGCAUCCUACUUUUAUAUGCUAAAAUAGAAAAUAAACAGAUUGUUAUUGAUAGUACAAGUAGCCAUAUAAAUUUGUUGCCAAAAAGUAAUUUCGCAAAGAAUCAUCAUACCAAAUAUAUGUCUAAUGCAAGAAAUGCAUUUUAUUUCCUUGCAACUCAAAUGCUAUGAUUCUACGAUAUAUGAGUUCUACAAAAACAUUGAUAAUGCAAGAAAUGCAUUUUAUUUCUUUGCAAUUGAAAUGUUAUGAUUAUACGAUAUAUGAGUUCUAUAAAAAUAUUGAAGCAUUAUAUCAAUCUCUCUUUGGAAUAUUUCGGCAUGUUCUCCAGUAGUGUCCUUUUCUCCCACAUAGUGCACAUGUAACUGUAUUUUCUUCCCAGUCUCCUAUGCCUCUCUUCUUUUUAGGUCUUCUUGGUUUGAUUUGUCCUUUUGGUGGCAGUACCACCUGCGAAGAGACAUGUUCUGGAAUUUGCCACAUUGUUUCAUCAGGCAAUGGAUUUACUGGUACCUCAUAUGUUUUCAGCAAAGUCUAUGUUGUAGUAAUCUGAGCAAUACUUGUAUGAAUCCAUAUGGAGUUUUUGUAUAACCGCCAUUGCAUGUGGACAUGGAAUAUCGUCUAGCUGAAACCUCCCAUAACUGCAGUUUCUUUCAUGUAGGUGCACCACAUUUCUUCUUUGGCUAUCAAUUACUAAAUGUAAGAAUUCAGUUGAUGGCAACACCUAGUAUAAUUUUAAUUAGGAAAAGUCAUUAGCUAUAUGAAGUAAUAGUAUUUUUAAAAUAAUAAUAUGCAGUUGUUUAGUGAAAUCACUAAAGAAAAAAAGUAAAAAUAUAGUACAUGCAGUGUUUUCAUUAUUUUGAAAAUGCAUAUCGUCAUCGUCUAUGAUAAGAUGAUAUUAUCUGCCAAUAUUUUUUCAAACUAUGCACCAAUCUUCAUAAAUGAUUCCAUUGCAUCCUUCCUACUGGUGUAAUUUCAUUUUUGAAUCAAUUUUGUCAUAAAGGCAAGCAAAUUCACAACUGGAAGGUCUCUUGCGUGCUUGUUUGCUGCAUUUACUGAUUCCGUAAUAUUCGAUGUCAUGGUCAUGGUUCUAUUUACCUUGGCAUGCGCCCAGGACCAUUUAUCAUAUCCAACAUCCAUCAAGUAUGUUUUUACUAUGCUAUCAAUAGCUUCUAACUCUGCCAUAUGUCUGUUGAAUUCUUCAACGGUGUAUGCUCUUGCUAACGCAAAGUAUAUUUCUUUGAUUAGUUUUUGGCUAUUCCUGAAGUUUGUCUUUAUGUUGUUCCACAGAUGGAAUAUACAUGCACAAUGAGGGUCUUCUGGAUAGACAAUUGAAGUUUUUUUCCAUAUAGCAUCAUGCCUGUCUGAUACAAUACAUAUUCCCUCUCUUUGUCCAUAGGUUUCUCUGAACUGCAUGAAGAACCAUUCCCACGAUGCAUCAUUUUCCGAAUCAACAAUUGGAUAUGCAAGGGGUAGAAUUUGUCAUGUAAACCAAAGAACAAAAUAUCAAUUACAACACACUAUAUUAAUUUAGUAUCGAAUAUAGUAAUAGUUAUAGGUAGGUGCAGAUGAGUAGCAAAAAAACUAUAUACUCUGUUGUACUUGUAUACCAUACUGGUAUCAUAUAAUAUUUGAUGCAGGUGUGUAGCAAAACAACAGUAUACUCUGCUGGUAUACAUGUAUGCCAGAUCUUCUGCUGAUGUUCUUUUAUCCCAGGUUGGGACAGAUUUAUUUGAACCCAACGUACUGUGAGGAAAUUCUGCGCAGACUGCACUAAUGAGAAAGGUUAAUUCUGUUGCAACUACAAUGGAAGAGGCGUUUGCGACACCUAAUGUUAGCAAUGAUUGCUUGAUGGGGAAUCUUGACUUCCUUAUAAAUGACUACCCUGGAGAUGCUGCUUUCUCUGCUGGUUCUGGUGGAAUGCAGGACCCCUAUUUACUAAAUUUUGAAGACUCAAGCUCUUGUAGCACUGUAGGCAGUGAUUUUGGUUUUAGAACUGGAAUAAAACCAAGGACUCGGCUCAAGCAGAAUCAACCUGAUGGCAAGCAAUUUGGAUCUGGAAUGCAAGGAACUUCUCAUAGAAGAAUAAGUUUCCAAAUGAAACUUCAAGCUGUAAGUGUUCAUUGUCGUGUGCCUAUUGAUUCUGAUAAGGGUGGAGCAAAUUACAAAGGACUGUUAACUGUGUCUAAGGUAAGUCUCCCCAAUCCCUCACACACAAAAGAAAAGAAAAAAAAGCAAAAAGGUAACAACAUUGAAAUAUAUUAUAAUUGGCAUGUGCAGAGUGACGUCUGAGGUAAGUCUCCCCAAUCCCUCACACACAAAAGAAAAGAAAAAAGAGUAAAAAGGUGACAACAUUGAAAUAUAUUAUAAUUGGCAUGUGCAGAGUGAUAAAUUCUCCAUUGAAGACAGUUCUACUGCCGGAGCUACUAUCUCAAGUGAUGAGACACAAGAUACUAUGCGCAAAGAAUUUAAAUAAUAUGGUCGAGUCGCUGAAGAAUUGAGUGCAAAUGCGAAAGAUAUAUACUACACUUGUUUCAUAUAAUAUUUGAUGCAGAUGUGUAGAAAAAUAACUAUAUACUCUGUUGGUAUACUUGUAUACCAUAGUGGUAUCAUAUAAUAUUUGAAAAUAUCUUUUGUUUCUUUAACUGAAUGUAAUUGGAUUGUAUUCUUAUCUUCUGCGUCUUGCGUGGAAGCUGUGAGUAUGGUCCCACUAUAUGUUUACUUUAAAAAACUUUCAUCAACUACAACUGUUGGCCUACAAUAGACCCAUCCUCUAAUUGAUGCAUAUAUAGCUAUGUAUGCAUACAAGAAGGUCCCAUCUUCUUCAGUGGGUAGUCGUGUCACUGAUCCUGGGUUAGCAUACUCUAUCAUAUAAAGAUAUGUUGGCAUUUUCUUGUAUGACUCACUUGGUGAUCGUUUCAAUAAUUGCAUUGCUUUUUCUUUUGAUCUCCAUGCUUGCAUGUAGCUCAAGUCCAUACCAUAUGAUUUUUGGAUGUCUCUUUGGAUACCUGUUGGAGUAUAUAUGAAUUUCUGGUCAACAAGUUUAUCUUGUACCACAGCUGCAACAAAAGCUGAGACAGCUUGCUUUUGUGAACAAAAUCUCUUAUCUGUUAAAUAACUGUGGACAGAAUUGAAAUCUGUUAAAAGCUGAGACAGCUUGCUUUUGUAAAUAAAAUCUCUUAUCAUAAACAACUAUGGACAGAAUUGAAAUUCGUCACUUUGAAAAGAUUUGAUGCUCGCAGGCUUGAUGCUUUAAGUCUCCAAGUGCAUCUUUCAUCCACGCAUUCAAGGAUAUACAUGUUUAUAAUAUAAAUAUAGUUAUGUAUCAUGUUUACCAUACAUAUAUACUAUAUUGGUAUUGUAUUUUACUGAUAAUAACAAAGACAAACCAAUACAGUUAUAUACUUGCAUAAUAUACUGAUAUAACAUACUUAUAUACUAUACCAGUAUUACUGAUAAAAAUAUACAAAUAUAUAUACUAUAGUAGUAUCAGUGAUAAAAAACACAUACAAACCAAUAUAAUUCCAUACUCGCAUAGUAUACUGAUUCAGCAUACUUAUAUACUACAUAGGUAUCACAUAGUUUUUUACUUGAAACAUGUAGACGAACCUUCUUGGGCAUGAUUUAUGAACUCGAUAUUGACAUUUUUCUCUAAUGGCAUACUGUUUCAUAACGAGAGCCGGCAUGUUCUUGUCUUCAUAGAUUUGUCCUUUUUCAAUAUUUUGAUGAAAUUGAUCAGUUAUGAUGUUUGGAUCAUCAAGUUCUAAAAUGGAAUCAUCUCCUUUUUCCACGUCAGACGCAGUAAUCAUAUCAAUGCUUUCAAGUUCUGCAAUUUUUUAUGAAAUUGGAGCAACAUUGAAACUGGAUGUGCUUGUAGCUAUAGUAUUUUUAGCAAACGACACACACAGGAGAAGUGUUGUCAUCCCUCACUUGAUUUUUUCAAUUCCACAUAAACAGUAACACUCAUAUCACUACAAAUUGUAAUUGGUGGAUACCCUUGAGCAAUAGCAUACUAAAUAACUAUUGUUUUACUGUCCUUUUGCAGUUGCUUUGCAAUUUGUCGGAGAAGUUGUUCAAAUUUCCAAUAGGUCUUUAUUAAAAUUGCAUCAACAUGAAAAUUUAUGAAAUUAUUAUUAUCAUCCGAUUCUCCACUAUGUUGCAGCAGAAUUGCAACAUUUUUCAUGAUUCUAAAGUUAUAAUCACUUUUAUGUCCAAAGUUGAAUCUCAAUAAUGCAAAAUUCAACUUUAUUCGAAAUCAACAGUGUUCGAAAUUUCAACAAAACAACAGCGAAAUCAAACCUCUAUAUCUCCAGAUCUCCAAACCUAUAUUAAAAUUUUCAGCUAAAAUUCAGAAGUUUAGGUCCAAAAUCAAAAUUUGAAGAGAACAUCGAAAUUAAAAUUCGAAUCAGCAUCUUCAAUAUGUUUUUUCAUACUUAUUGUUCUUCGAUCGGUGGAAAUCUCAGUUUUGUGUGCUAAUUCUCUGAGCUUCUGUGUUUUUGUACGUUCGUGCGCUAAUUUUCUAAAGCUUCUGCGUUUUUAUACGUCGGGCAUUAAAAGCGUAGGUAGUUAUUUUAUUAUUGGCGUUUAUUUAUUAAAUGGGUAGGAGUUGUAAUUAUUUAGUGGGUAGAAUUCUUUAAUGGGUAGGGGAGGGUAAAUAGUUUCACUUUUAUAGGUAGUCCUGUCUUCUCCCCUUUACAAUUACCAAACCAAACUAGUUGUGUCGGGUUAUUAAAUCUAAAUGCCAAACCAAACAAAUAAAAUUCAGGUUUUUUCGCUCUCGGAUUUUUCGUGUUUUCGUAUUAUUCGAUUUUUUCUAAUUUUUUUCGAAUAAAAUCUUCAUAGAACAAAAUAUAUAAAUUAUGCUCAAAAUAUUUCCUUAAUCCUAGUAAGAUACAUCUAUAUAAAUUAUUUUUCAAUAAAAUAAUACAAAAUAUGAGAUGUGUCAUCGCAUUAUCCUAAAAUAUUCAACAACGAAGAUAAUAAAAUUGUGUAAUAUCAUAUUGCUUAUUAAAAAGCCAUAAUAAAAAUAAACAUAAUCUAAAAAUACUAAAUCAUGCUAGAAUAAGUAGACUAAAGGGAAUAUUAAUUACAUGACUAAACGCUAAAGAAAAAAUUAAAAUAGGUUGUGCAUGUAUCUAAAUUAUUGCAAAACAAAAAAUAGAUAUUCAAUACAUUCACGUUCAUAGUAUUGAAUUGAAUGUCUUUUGUUAGCAUUAAUAUUGAUUUGAUNNNNNNNNNNNNNNNNNNNNNNNNNNNNNNNNNNNNNNNNNNNNNNNNNNNNNNNNNNNNNNUGAUUUGAUUUUGGUUUUAAUUUGGCUUUUGUUAGCAUUAUUUAAUUUACUAAUGUUAAUGACUAUAAAACUUAUUGGAACAUUCAAAAAGUUUUAAGUCCAACCGUGAAAUAAUAUCUUAAAAGAUAAAAUUAUGAAUUUUUUAAGAAAUAUUAAUAAAUUACAUCACAAAAAGUAUAUUUAUAUAUUAAAUAUAUCUAAAAGUUCUAUAUAUGUAAUGUCGAGUUGGUUUGGUUUCGGUUUGACUUUCUUUAGUUAAAACCAAACCAAACCAAUUAUGGUCGUUUUUUUUUCCAACACCAAACCAAAUCAAACCAAAUCAUGGACGGAUUUUUUUUCUCGGUUUGACUCGGAUUAUCAGGUUGGUGCGGUUUGUCGGUUUCCUUUGUACACCCCUACUGUUGGGGAAUGGUUUGGUGAUAUCUUCGUAUUAAUUUAGAGUCCGUUUGGAUGGACUUAUUUUAAGUGACUUUUAAGUCAUAAGUUAGGAAUUUUAAUUUUUAGUUUUUUGUUUGUUUUUGUCAUUUUAGCUCUUAAAAUCACUUUUUUACUCUAUCUAAACACUACACGAUAACCUUAAAAAUUAUUUUGACUUAAAGGAAAUGGAAAUAAGGGAAUUCAAACGGGCUGUUAGGCAAUUCUCCUUUCAGAAGCUAACUUUUGGGGUUAUUAAGUUAGGCCUAAAUGUCAUAUUUUACAAGAUCUUUGUUUUUACUUAUCAAUUUUAGUAAAUCAACAGAAAAUUAGUUAUUCCAAUUUUACUUUUAUCUUACCAUUUUCAAAUAUUAAUUGAGCCACAAAAGUGUAAGAUAUGAGUAUACAAAUUUAUAAGAUAAAAAGAGGUCUCGCACAACUAAUAUACGUUUGUGUGAGACAUACCAUAAAACUUCAGUGAUUAAUGAUCAUGCCGUGAUGUAUUAACAGAGAGAGAUCAUAGAUAUAUGGCGAAACAUAAUUUUAACAUUUCCAUGAGAUUUUGAAGAUCAAAUAGGGAAACCAAGUUCAAAGGAAGAAGUAUACAUAUAUUUGUGCUUUUAAUUUCAGUAAUAAUAUAUGCUCAAGUUUAUUCCUAUACAUGUACAGAGCACAUUUAUUUUUGAGGAAGAAAAAAGAGAGGCAAAAUAUUCUUCCAUGAAAAAGGUAGUUGUACUAUCUCAAUGACUUGUUAUGAUUGGAAGGAACAAUCUUGAUAACAAGACCAGGGAAAACAUCAUCAGGAUCAUGAAUAUGUGGAUUCCUUUCAACAAUAUAAGGAUCACCGCACUUGUCACUUAUUGUAUGCAGAGUUUCACCUUCUCCGACCACAUAGAUUUCAUCGCAAGGUCGAUGAGACAACCCCAGC
rnacentral:lncRNA from 1 species